rnacentral:rRNA from 1 species
GACGAACCGUCCAAACGUUAUUCGGAAUCACUGGGCUUAAAGGGUGCGUAGGCGGCGCGGAAAGUUGGGUGUGAAAUCCCUCGGCUCAACCGAGGAAUUGCGCCCAAAACUUCCGUGCUCGAGGAAGAUAGAGGUGAGCGGAACUUAGGGUGGAGCGGUGAAAUGCGUUGAUAUCCUAAGGAACACCGGUGGCGAAAGCGGCUCACUGGACCUUUUCUGACGCUGAGGCACGAAAGCUAGGGUAGCGAACGGG